CAUGCCCAUGAGAUUAUUUAUCA
rnacentral:siRNA from 1 species